GAGCGCCUGGCGCAAUGGUAGCGCAUCUGGGUCCGGUAUAGUGGUUUACGUCAACGUCACACCAGAAGGCUGCAGGUUCGAGCCCUGCGGUGCUCG